AGGACGAAGGCUGGCGGCGKGCCURAGACAUGCRAGUCGAGCGGACUGAUGGGGGCUGGCUCCCUGAGGUUAGCGGCGGACGGGUGAGUAACACGUGGGCAACCUACCUGUAAGACUGGGAUAACUCCGGGAAACCGGGGCUAAUACCGGAUAACCCGUUCCACCUCAUGGUGGAGCGGUAAAAGAUGGCCUCUGGSUAUSACUUACAGAUGGGCCCGCGGCGCAUUAGCUAGUUGGUAAGGUAACGGCUUACCAAGGCGACGAUGCGUAGCCGACCUGAGAGGGUGAUCGGCCACACUGGGACUGAGACACGGCCCAGACUCUACGGGAGGCAGCAGUAGGGAAUCUUCCGCAAUGGAUGAAAGUCUGACGGAGCAACGCCGCGUGAGUGAUGAAGGUUUUCGGAUCGUAAAGCUCUGUUGUUAGGGAAGAACAAGUGCCGUUUGAAUAAGGCGGCACCUUGACGGUACCUAACCAGAAAGCCACGGCUAACUACGUGCCAGCAGCCGCGGUAAUACGUAGGUGGCAAGCGUUGUCCGGAAUUAUUGGGCGUAAAGCGCGCGCAGGCGGUCUCUUAAGUCUGAUGUGAAAGCCCACGGCUCAACCGUGGAGGGUCAUUGGAAACUGGGAGACUUGAGUACAGAAGAGGAGAGUGGAAUUCCACGUGUAGCGGUGAAAUGCGUAGAUAUGUGGAGGAACACCAGUGGCGAAGGCGACUCUCUGGUCUGUAACUGACGCUAAGCGCGAAAGC
rnacentral:rRNA from 1 species